AAAUAAGAAGUAAUAUUAUUACAUAUUAAUUUCGACUUAAUAAUAGAUUAUUUAAUCCUUAUUUU
rnacentral:tRNA from 2 species